rnacentral:rRNA from 1 species
AUGAAGACCUUACUCAUCCUAACAAUCCUUGUGAUGGCAGUAACCAUCGGCACCGCCAAUAUGCAGGUCGACCCUAGCGGCCAAGUACAAUGGCCACAACAACAACCAGUCCUGCUGCCUCAGCAACCAUUCUCCCAGCAACCACAACAAACAUUUCCCCAACCCCAACAAACAUUCCCCCAUCAACCACAACAACAAUUUCCCCAGCCUCAACAACCACAACAACAAUUUCUCCAGCCACAACAACCAUUCCCCCAACAACCACAACAACCAUAUCCCCAGCAACCACAACAACCAUUCCCCCAGACUCAACAACCCCAACAACUAUUUCCCCAGUCCCAGCAACCACAACAACCAUAUCCCCAGCAACCACAACAACCAUUCCCCCAGACUCAACAACCCCAACAACAAUUUCCCCAAUCCCAGCAACCACAAUAACCAUUUCCCCAACCCCAACAACCGCAACAAUCAUUCCCCCAGCAACAACCAUCGUUCAUUCAGCCAUCUCUACAACAACAGCUGAACCCAUGCAAGAAUUUACUCUUGCAGCAAUGCAGACCUGUGUCAUUGGUCUCAUCCCUCUGGUCAAUGAUCUGGCCACAAAGCGCUUGCCAAGUGAUGAGGCAACAAUGCUGCCAACAACUAGCACAGAUUCCUCAGCAGCUCCAGUGUGCAGCCAUCCAUAGCGUCGUGCAUUCCAUCAGCAUGUAGCAAGAACAACAACAACAACAACAACAACAACAACAACAACAACAACAACAACAACAACAACAACAACAACAACAACAACAACAACAACAACAACAACAAGGCAUGCGUAUCCUGCUGCCACUAUAUCAGCAACAACAGGUGGGUCAAGGUACUCUCGUCCAGGGCCAGGGCAUCAUCCAACCCCAACAACCAGCUCAAUUGGAGGCGAUCAGGUCAUUGGUGUUGCAAACUCUUCCAACCAUGUGCAACGUGUAUGUCCCACCUGAGUGCUCUAUCAUCAAGGCACCAUUUGCCAGCAUAGUCACCGGAAUUGGUGGCCAAUGA